UCGGCGUCGGAGGAGGCGGCAUAUGCUAAUGACGGACAAAUGUCCACUGACCGUGACCUUGAGGACCACAGUAUAAAGCAGGCCACAUCUCACCGAGGUGUUGUUCCGUUACGGUCGUCCUGAAGUCAGCGGACAACUUUUUUUUUUGUUCGUUCCCUCGCCUCGUCUGUCUCGCUGGCGCGUCGGGUUGUUGCGCCGGAGAGGAGCGGCCGCCGCGUCGCGCUUUGACGUGAUGGAAUGCGGGGAGGCUGCAUCGUUCUUACCCAAGUCGGACCCGGGGACGUCACGCAAUGCGGCUUUUGACGGUAGGCCCAGUCUUGUAGGGAGAAAUCACAUCAAUAAAUAUUCAUAUCAGAAAUUAAUCCAGUUUUUUUUUAAUUCAGUCGAAUUCAUAUCUGGUUUUAAAUGGAAGGAAAAACAUUGCAGUUUGCUUUUGGAGUUACAUGUGUUGCCUUAAAAACUGAUCACAUGGCCAUUUCAUUUUUUUAUCCACGGCAAAAAGUUGCAAUUCUUUACUGUUUUAAUUGUAAAUUAUUUUUUGUGAAAGUUGAUUUAACACAUUUUUGUACAAUAACACACUCUGAUUUGGGGUAUUUAUUUGUAUGCUUUCCAACAUCCUCCACUGUCUGCUGUGAUGUUAGAGCCUGGGGCCCCGAUGAAGCAUCCAUCGAGCUCACCGGGGACACGUUCAAAGAUGAGAGGGCUCCGUCAGUGAAGGAGUACAACGUGAUCGAAGAACGAGGCUUCAUGCUGCGCAACCUGCUGCUCCGCCUGGUUGAUUUAUGCUCAUCCUCGGCACCCCGGUGGACGAGAAGAACUGUCGGCAUGCGCAGUCAAGGCCUCAUACCUGAUGGUGUGUGCUGAAUGUGCUGAAGGGACACAACGUCUAACAGGUGAGGUGGUGCAAUGUCGGCAAUCUGUGUUUUGAUUAAUUAGAAAAUCUCAAAGACAAUGAAUGAUGUUAUGUCAGUGGUGAAGUGUAAAAUGAGGCACAAACAAUAAACCGAAGUGCAGAAUGAAAUGUGCGCCACACGGUAGAGAACAUUCCGCGGGUUCAUUUUCCCUUCGUUCUGAUUGGAUGUGGUACGCUGAUGACAGACUGCCGAUUAAACCUCGGUUGAUCAGGAGCUUCUUUGUGCCUCAUCCUGAUGAAUUAGUAGUGCAUUUUCCCUUCUAAUGAACACCGUUCACUGCAGCUCAACAGCUCUGAGCAGCUGUGCAUCAACUUCCACCACAUGUUCAUCGUGGAGCAGAAGUACCAGAGGAAGGACAGCGAAUGGACUGUCAUCGACUUCGGGCUGGACUCUCAAGCCUACAUUUAUCUCCUUGUAAAGUUUCCCAGCACAAGAUCGGCGGCGAGGAGGAGAAGACGGCAGCCGCUCUCCAGGCCGCGUCCCAGCUUCACGAGGAAAACCUGAGCGAGCUGAUGACCGACCUACGCAGCUCCCGGCCUCACUCUGUUCGCUGCGUCAUCAGUGAUGAGAUCCGCGUGGCGAAUCCAAGUGCUAUCGCGUCCUGAUGGUUUUUGGACAGCAGGAAAGCUGUGCAGAAGCUGCUGUCCUCGUGGGGACCGACCACAGCCAGCAUGAGUCUGGACUCACAAAAAGUGAGGCUCUGAUGAUUAACGCCGUCGAGCCGACGCGCCCUGGAUGAAGCGCUUUCAGGAGCAGGACUCCGCAUCUUGCGGAUGCUGAGGAUCGCUGUAAGCUACUCAUCCAAACGAAGGUUGCCACGGAGGCCAAGGGGAAAGAGAUCGUGGCUAGAAGGACGAGGAGACGAUGACCAAGAAGCUAAAGCUGGAGGACAACGGUGCUGAGCUGAAGAGACAUUGAUGAUGUGGAGAUCACACUGGAUAAACGUGCCACUGAGAACAAGGAAGGACUGAAAUGAAUGCAAUCCGCUCCAGAAUAGGAGAUGAGCUAGCCAAGCUAAGUGGAGAAGCAGCGAUGCGAUGUGGCACGUGAGCUAGAAGCACUGAGCCCACUUUGGCUCAGACAAGAGAGAAGCAGAUCUACUGAAGCUGCUGCGAGACCAGCAGGAAACAGGUCCACCACGAGGCCGCUACGGCUACACGCUUGACAGUGUCAGAGCGACAUCAAGCGAGGUCAACUGUUGACCACUUCAGAGAAGAUGUCCAUCCUCCUGAUUGGUCUCCUAAGGCCAAAAAAGUCCUGGCACACACACUGCAAUCACCUCGAUAUAAAUGUCGUCUCCUGAAGGAGCAGGAAGCCUCAGCUGAGAUGGAGAGACGUUCCACGCCAACGCUCCUCAGUGGAGGACUAAGUAUGAAACUGAUGCCAUCCAGAGAAUUUAGGCCCUCUAUGAAGCCAAGGUGGAUGAGACGAGCUGAAGGUGCAGGUGCCAACGACCGAGUGGCGCACCAAUCUAUCAGACUGCUGAGGGGGAGGAGCGAAGCGCUCUGCUGAGGCAGAACGACCGUGCGUGCAAGCGAGCUGAGCUGCUUGAGGCCACAGACUCAACCUGUUGCUCUCAGGCAGUGAUGAUGGCAAAGGAGCUGAAGAAGGAGCAGGACACUAGUGCCCAUCUGGAGAGGAUGAUGAAGAAGAAGAACAAAGGUAAGGCCGAUGAGUGGACAAAGCGGAGCAGAUCGCCCUCAAGGGCGGCAGAAAGAAGGUCCAGAAGUUGGAGUUGAAUGAAUUGUUUAUAAUCUCUGUCAUGCAUGAAUAUUCCUCGUAUUAGUUUGUAACUUGAAAUGGCUUCUUCAGUUUUCUGGUCUGAAAGGUAAAAACUGGAGUAUGAGGAGAAUCAGGGAGCUCUCCUACCAGGUACAGCAGCAGGGUGGUCGCAUAGAAAUACAUGCUGUAGUGUCACAUAACAUGUCUUUAUAUGAGAUGCCCUUAUGCUCUCUAAAAGGUUAGGAACCAGUCCGCCUUCAGCUCAUGGACAAGCUGCAGACCAGGUUGAAGAGUUACAGGCUGAAGCAUCACAUGCUGAGUGACGGGAGGCGGAGAGCUACGGACAAACAUGUCACAGCAAGCCAGCUGCAACAGCUGUGCUCCACUGUGACAACACGGCCCAAAUAAAGACUUCAGAAAUGUACCUUACUGGGCGUUUUCUUUUACCAGUGUGCGAUAAAGAUAGCAAUCCCACAGUGAAGGUCUAAAGAG
ensembl:lncRNA